rnacentral:rRNA from 1 species
UACGAAGGGUGCAAGCGUUACUCGGAUUGACUGGGCGUAAAGGGCGCGUAGGCGGUUUGUACAGUCAGACGUGAAAUUCCUGGGCUCAACCUGGGGGCUGCGUUUGAUACGUGCGGACUUGAGUUCGGAAGAGGGUCGUGGAAUUCCCAGUGUAGAGGUGAAAUUCGUAGAUAUUGGGAAGAACACCGGUGGCGAAGGCGGCGACCUGGUCCGACACUGACGCUGAGGCGCGAAAGCGUGGGGAGCAAACAGG